AACGGCGAGUGAAGCGGCAAAAGCUCAAAUUUGAAAUCUGGCUCCUUCGGGGCCCGAGUUGUAAUUUGCAGAGGAUGCUUCGGGCGUGGCCGCGGUCUAAGUCCCCUGGAACGGGGCGUCGCAGAGGGUGAGAAUCCCGUCUUCGGCCGGCCGGCUUCGCCCGUGUGAAGCUCCUUCGACGAGUCGAGUUGUUUGGGAAUGCAGCUCUAAAUGGGUGGUAAAUUUCAUCUAAAGCUAAAUAUUGGUCGGAGACCGAUAGCGCACAAGUAGAGUGAUCGAAAGAUGAAAAGCACUUUGAAAAGAGAGUUAAACAGCAUGUGAAAUUGUUGAAAGGGAAGCGCUUGCGAUCAGAGUCGGCCGCGGGGGUUCAGCGGGCAUUCGUUGCCCGUGCACUCCCCCGCGGGCGGGCCAGCGUCGGUUUCGACGGCCGGUCAAAGGCCCCCGGAAUGUGUCGCCUCUCGGGGCGUCUUAUAGCCGGGGGUGCAAUGCGGCCAGUCGGGACUGAGGAACGCGCUUCGGCACGGACGCUGGCUUAAUGGUCGUAAGCGACCCGUCUUGAAACACGGACCAAGGAGUCUAACAUCCACGCGAGUGUUCGGGUGUCAAACCCGUCCGCGCAGUGAAAGCGAACGGAGGUGGGAACCCUUAAGGGUGCACCAUCGACCGAUCCUGAAGUCUUCGGAUGGAUUUGAGUAAGAGCGUGGCUGUUGGGACCCGAAAGAUGGUGAACUAUGCCUGAAUAGGGUGAAGCCAGAGGAAACUCUGGUGGAGGCUCGCAGCGGUUCUGACGUGCAAAUCGAUCGUCAAAUUU
rnacentral:rRNA from 1 species